UGUGUGUGUGUGUGUGUGUGGGUGUGUGUGUGUGUGUGUGUGUGUGUGUGUGUGUGUGUGUGUGUGUUUUAGAGGAAGGCGCAGUCAUGUGUGACGGCUCAGUAACCGCAGUUUGUACUCCAGAACACACACAGAAGACGGUGUUUGGUGCAGAGCUCUAUUCAGGGCUUUGUACACCUCGUCCCAACACAUGCAUGCACACACACACACACACACACACACACACACAUGCACACUUGUAUUGAGCAAUAAGUCGACAAAGAGCAGCGCUGCUCUCUGACCAAGGACACGGAGCUCGCUGAGGCUCCUCCCCCUGGCAGGCUGCUGGGUGCUGUGUGUUGACAGCCUGUGAUAAACAGCUGUAACGGGGCUGCAGUACCUGACUGACUCGUCCAGGUGUAAUUACAUCGGCUCCUUUUAAUGUGUCAAAAUCCAUCAACAUAGUGUUAGUACUUUGUGUGUGGCUCUGUGGUGUAGUGGUUUACACAUUCGCCUAACAAGUGAAAGGUUCCUGGUUUGAUUCCAGAAGCUCCAUGAAGACUUUAAUUGUUCUGUUAUAAAACGAUGAAGAAUGACAGACAAACUUUUAUUGUGUUUUUUAUUAUAAGGACAUAUUUUAAAACCUUUAACAUUAAUGUUAGGCUGGUGGAGGGGUGAUGGAGUAAUCAGCCAGGAGGGUUAUUCGCGUCCACCUCUUGUGUUUUACAGGUUUGUCUUUAGACUCUAAAAAGUUCCUGGUUUGGUUUAGAAAACGCGGUCUGGUUUCAUCAAGACCUCUCAGCAGUAGCCAUGCAUGCUUAACACUGACAGGUUUGGCGUGACGGACGUGUUUUGCUUUUUCCAUAUCCUCAUGUAUCACCCACCGCCAUCGAAGGACGUUCUUUGUGUGAAUGUGACACCUUAUCAAAGCAGCAUUAUUUUAGGGAAAUGGCCUUGAAAUUGAGCCUAAUCAUGUCAGCGCUGUUUUUCACGGGAUUUCCUCUUAUUUGCACGAUUGUUUAAUUUGUGCACAGAGAAUAAAUAUCUGUGAGACGAUGUAGGACCAGAAAGCCGUUUUCACUCACAAACUUUGGAGAGUUUCAGGAUAAGUAGGUCAGGAUGUUUUCUGUAGUUGGCUUUGUUUAUAUUGCAUGAAGCACGCAGGAGGAAGCCGUCUGCUUCAGACAUGUUAAAACCGCUGGAAGUGCUCCAGAGGGAGUUGUCUGGAUCGAGCUUCCAGGACGCUCUUUCACUACCGGUAAAUGCACCGGUAGAGCUAUUACUCGAACUGCUCCCACAGUCUGACAGUCUGAGUUUUUUAUGAGGGAGCUGGCAGGUUCAAAACAUUUUAAAGUGACUACGUCAGACAUUUUUCUCACACACCUCUGUCAGGUGAUGUCUAGAAGAGUUCAAGGAUGCUGUGCAUGUGUGGAAAUGUCUUUCCACCUCCGUCUAACGGCAAAACGUGAAACGCUGUCAUGUGUGAGGACACGAAUUUGGCAGUUUUCCAGUACAGGGAGGAGGAAUUUGACAUUUAAGGAGGAAGCUUUGAGGGAACUAGGAAUGCCAUCAUACCUGAAAUUGAGUAGAUGAUAUCAGAGCCAGUAGAUUUACACAAUCCCAAAACAAAAUUAUGUAAUGCACUUAAACAUAAACAUGUAGGUGUACCCCGUCACUUCCUGAAAAGCUGCAGGUUCAGUACCUACACCGCCUACAGCAGCUGAGGUCAUGAAAAAACCAACUACUGGGGCGUUUUUGGAGUUUUGGUAUCAAAAGGUAUCCUGAGUUUCGGUUCUGGCAACUUCCUGGCGGAAACCAAGAGAAGUGAACUUCUGUUUUCCAAAUCUUAACCAAGUCAUUCUGGCUGUUGGAAGGUCAGGGUGUGUGAAAGUAAAAUGAAAGAAAAUGUAGAAGUAUUCAGUCACGUGUGCAGCUCGAGCGGUGGUGUUCAUCCAAAAAAUGUGGACUUUCUACCCUUUAAACCUGGAAAAGUUUCCACCUGUGCUUGUGGACAUGAGUCAAUAAAUCUGAUGAAAAUUUGUGUUUGUGUAAACAGCAAAGGAGGGGAAAUCUGUACCCGAGAACACGGAUCGAUAGAUUAAAUAUUGGGAGUAUUUAACAAACAGCUGUAAUCUGUGUUAUAGAGGUGAAAAAUUUAAGCGUGUUUAGCUGAAGUUGUUUCCCUUCUGUUGUCUUUGGGGGAGGGAAAUUAGGCUUAAACCCUAAAGCAAGUCAGCUGAGGGGAAGCACUGAAGUUGUUGGAGACUCAUGAAGCUGUAGUAAAUUACAUGGGGUGUUUGUCUUGUUUGUGUAAGAUAAAGAAAACCUGAGAGGAAAUAAGUAUCCAGUCCACAAGAUAAAAUCCCUUAAAGGUGCUAACGCAAGUAUCAAGCUAAUAUCGGCGACAACAACAGUUGUCUGUAGUUCUGUAAGUGGCGGAAGGACUGCAAGCAGCAGUGUUAACAACACAAAAAGGAGCUAAAACUUGAGUUUUAAUCAAAACAGUUGAAUGUAACAGCACAACAGAAGGACACGUUGUGUCCUCACCCGUGUGCAGCUCUGUUUUUAGUUUGUGAUAAAACUGUGACACGGUUUCAUGUGUCCACAUGCUUACCAAUGACCUUGGUAAGCAUGACAAAUAUUUUAAGAUAUUAAAGAAAACCAGGGCAGAAGAAGCUCUCACAAACACACCCCACAUUAAUCUCAUGACCCCUUGAAGGGUCUGUGACCUCCCUGCUGGGAAGGGCUGCCUUUCAAAGGCAAAAAGAGGAAUGCAUUCCUCGCAAACCCCCUGAAGGGGUUUGUCCGCCCCUGGCGUCACUGAGCUGCGCUUUGGGAAUUCACGUCUUGCUAUUUUGUUGCUGCGAGUUUGAGUGCGAGUCGUCUAAUUGUCAGCUUCCAGCGCAGCGGUUUGAAGUGGGUUUGUCAGCUUGUUUUUCUUGCACAGACGCAGCACAAAGAGACAAAACGAGCUGCGCCAUUAUCUCUACCGAACGGUUGCUGAGUGUUUGAGGGUGACGUAGGCUGGUGUGAAACUUUGACCAUAUCUGUGGCUGUCCAGCUGCACUUCACCUCCUCAAACACGGAAAUGCGUUUGACUUGGGAUGGCGUGCCAGAAGCUGCAUGAAAUAUAUCUGCAGUGUUGUGACCCUCGCAGUGUUUAUGUACCCAAAAGAUGUUGAGUGACGUUAAGCUGACAUGCUAAACCGAGAGGUUUUUUUUGUCUUUCUGCAAGCAGCAUACCAGAGUUUCCUGUCUUUGGUACAGUCAGUUCCUUACACACCAAAAAAAAAAGUUCAUGACCCUGAGCUGUGGAAAAUUACAAGGUGUUUUUUUUUUUUUUUUUUGUUUCUUUUUUGGCCACCUUGUAGACAAAACGAUUGAAUAAAAAUGAUAAGUAAAAGUGUUGCAGACUCCUCUGCAGGAAGAGAGCUGCAGCAAAGAUGUUGCUGAAUUGGAGGAAAACGUCUUGUUUAUUUAAUUUUUGGGUGUGCUUUUGAGCAAAAUUGAGCUGAACCCCAGAGGUAAACAAACCAAAUCCCUGUGCAGUGUACGGUACACUCAGUAUUUCAGGCUGUGAACGUGACUCUGUUUCACUUCUUUGCACGAAGAUUCAGCAAAGAAACAAAGGGCUGUUCGUUCAGAGGGGGGUGAGGGGGGAGACUCUGAAAGUGUGUGUGGCUGUGUUUGUUUGCUGUCUGUUGAAUAAAAGCCAUCACGUGGAUGCGGAUGGUGUAAUAAAUUUGUACUCUUGUUCUAUUGCCCCGCAAUAAAGAGAUUUGUGGUAUUAUGUGCUGAUGCAACAGCAGCAAAAACAAAGAUGUUCUUUAAUCUGAGCUCAGAUAUUCACACGGGUUCCAGGUGGAUUAGGUCCUGAUACAAACAGUGUGGGUGUGCCCGAGUGUUCCCGAGUGUGAACAUUAUGUGCUACUGUCUGAAUAAAGGACAGACAGGUUUGUGUUCACUUUCAAACCAAAGCAGGGAGGAGGUUUUCAGAUCAGGCAGUGAAUGUAGAAGAUGUCCUUGCGCUCACAGACCCACUUUAUUUCAUUUCUUUUGACUCAGCGUUGUUGUUGUUGUUAUUGUUAUUAUUCAUUGAUCACCUUCAUUUGAUUUUGUUGCACUCCAUAUUCCUCCAGUGGAUGUUAAGCAGCAGUAUUAGGUGAGGUCUGAUCUGUUGUCUCGGCAGGUUUUGUUUGUUUUGUUUUGUUUUUGCUGCUGAAAACAGAAAAAAUAAACACAAAGACUAAAACAAUACUGGCAAAGUCGUAAUUUUAAACAGCAGCAUCGGCCCAGAAUUUCACAUUCGAAGUCUGCUUGUUUUAGAGGAUGUGGAGGCCCCUGUAAGGAAUAACCCACAAUGUGAAGAGUUGUGCAACAUUUCUGUCAGCGUGAUUAAACACGUAUUACCAUAGUGUGUGUGUGUGUGUGAUGAUGCUGACCGUGUGUGUGUGUGCGCGCGCGCUGUGUAAAGGCGUCUGUCAGCUGCAGAAGUUAUUUUUGAAGCCGUGCUCAGCUGGUGUCCUGUGUUGUGUUCUUUUUGUUCUGCGGUUUGAUCAUUCAUUGGCCUGAGUUGGCACACUGAAAGAGGUCACUUUGUUUUAGGUAGUUAUUAAAGCCUGUAGCUUUUAUUAUGGAGGACCCAAUGUGCCAAAAUAAAUAAAGAAACAACUUUAUUAGUUUUUAAUUUGUGUCAACAGUGCACGUGUAAUGGAAUGUUGACAUAUGUGUUUAAAUAAUUAGGCCUUGUAUUGAAUGCCAUUCUUUGUUCAUUCAUGAUUAAAAAGCACCACCAAAUAAAUACUUAAAGCGCGCAGUCCUGCUGUGUGUUCUCGUCAGCUAAAUUCUUUAUCAUUAUGUUUUUUUUCUUCUGCGACGUCCGUGUGAUCCCACACAGACGAAGACACCCUUCAGAUUCCUGCUCGCUGUUUGUUUUUUCCAAAAGUGUUUUACUGUUUUUCAAUAAUUUAAUAUUUGUUGUACAAGAAAACCACCUGUAAAUCUCUCCCUAUUAAAGUGAACUGCAGAGCCAGACAGGACUAAUACACCCACAACUUGAAAACUAGAAAAAUCCUGUUUUUCCUAAUGGAAGAUCAAUACACUGUGCAAUAUUU